GACGAACGCUGGCGGCGUGCCUAAUACAUGCAAGUCGAACGCUUUUUCUUUCACCGGAGCUUGCUCCACCGAAAGAAAAAGAGUGGCGAACGGGUGAGUAACACGUGGGUAACCUGCCCAUCAGAAGGGGAUAACACUUGGAAACAGGUGCUAAUACCGUAUAACACUAUUUUCCGCAUGGAAGAAAGUUGAAAGGCGCUUUUGCGUCACUGAUGGAUGGACCCGCGGUGCAUUAGCUAGUUGGUGAGGUAACGGCUCACCAAGGCAACGAUGCAUAGCCGACCUGAGAGGGUGAUCGGCCACACUGGGACUGAGACACGGCCCAGACUCCUACGGGAGGCAGCAGUAGGGAAUCUUCGGCAAUGGACGAAAGUCUGACCGAGCAACGCCGCGUGAGUGAAGAAGGUUUUCGGAUCGUAAAACUCUGUUGUUAGAGAAGAGCAAGGAUGAGAGU
rnacentral:rRNA from 1 species